GGUUAUUUUGGAGUCCACAUAUUCUUCAGACCAAUCUUUUAUCAUCUCUAAUAUAUCCCAUCAUGGGAACCCAAACUUCUCCCCUCAUUAACUAAAUGGAUCAAGAUGAGUCUCUUAUCUUACUUUGGGCCUUGCCCAAACCAGCCCAACACCACUCUCUUUUUGUAACAUCAAUACUGAUGACCUCUCUUCCCUGUACCACCCUUUCAUGCAAAGAUAACAGCACUUUAAACCAUUUGCUCAACUCAUUUACUUUCCCCUUCAUCAAUCUCUCUUAUAUUUUUCUCCCUAAGUACAUGAGUAAGAGCACAAAAAUUGUUGGGCAUCAGUGACAUGCAGCCAUGCACCCUAGUCGCCCCAACUGCCUUGCAUGCAAAUACUUUCAGCAUCUAAUGUUUGCCCCCUUAAUUCCUUAGCAGAACCCCUUAACAUACUUCUUCAAUCCCAUUUACCACCC
rnacentral:lncRNA from 1 species